GGGAGGGGCAGAGAGAGGGAGACAGAAUCCCAAGCAGGCUCCUUGCCUUCAUUGCAGAGCCCGGUGUGGGGCUCAAACUCAAGACCCAUGAGAUCAUGACCUGAGCGGAAACCAAGAGUUGGAUGCUUAAUUGACGGAGUCACCCAAGUGCAGCGCGCCCCCCUCCCACAAAUCUUUUCUUUUUCACAAAUUCAAGUUAAUACUACAGGUGACUUUUUUAGAAAAUAUUUGGGCAUAAGGUUUAAAAACCUAACUUUUUGUUUGUUUGUAUGUUUAACAGCACGGGGAAUAGACCGUAAUAAAAUUUUUAUGGCCCCGAUACUAAAAUGACGAUGGUACUCUCCCAAGGGGUUCAAAAUAAAAACAACAUUAAAUCGCAAAAUAAAAUUUUAUUUCAAAAGCUAAAACUCACAAGUGUGCUGAAAUAAGGCCAGGAUGUAAGUUCAUGCGGGAGGGAAAAAUUGCGGGUUCCCCAGUGCCAGAAACAGUGCCUUGCACAACAGCAAGGUACUCAAUAAACAGAAUGAUGGCUACAGUUUUUCCCAGUUCUUUCUUGAAUGCCCCUUACCCCCAUCCCUGGCCCUGCCCUGGCCCCAGCAUGUUCUUACUUGGCUUCUUGGGCAAUCUAGCCAUGACUGGGCAUGUGGCUAGGGCUCGGUCAGUAUUUGUUGAUUGUAAGACUUGCACUGGACAGGACUGGAGUAUCGCAGACCACACGAUCACCUGAGGCCUGGCUGCAGGGCCUACAUCAGCCCUAUCUGGGCUGGAGCUGAACUUCAAGGUUACAACAGAGGACCACGCACUCCUGCCCCGUUCAGAUUGCUUAGCUCCGUGGAUGGGAUCAGCCGACAGGAUUCUUCAUUUGCACAGUUUGGCUGAACCAUUCUAUUCCUUCUUCCACAUUGAUCAGGUGGUUUGGAAUCAACUGUGGGGAACCUGCCCAGAGGGUGUCUGCAGGUGAAGAAUCUUCAUUUUCUCCUGGCCUCUGUUUGUCGUGAAUGGGACAGUUCACAGGAGGCGGGACUUCGGGGGUUCAUUUGCUACUAUGACUUUGCCAUCCAAGUCUAGUGUUCAUCCAGCUGGUGUCUGUCUGAGCUUGGAACUUGGAGAAGAGUGAAGCAAGACGUUGUGAAAUAGGCUGGGGAAAUGGAGAAAACCUGGUGUUUUCAAGUAGCACUCCACUCAUUGGCCUGCCAGAUCAGCAGGCUUACCAAACAGCAGCUCCGAGCCACAGUGAAUAUUUCAACACGUCUUACCCGUUUCUGGCCCGUGUGGUAAGAUGACCAGAGAAGUACACAAAAAACCCUAGUAAUGGAGAAUACCGAAGAGUUUCAAAUGAGGUGAUUCUAGAUUGUAUGUUUAGAUCAAGCAGCCCCACGGUGUUCGAGAUUAAUUUAGUUGUGGUGUUCUGUUUUUAGUGUUUGUUUAUUCAUUUUUGAGAGAGAGAGCACGAGCGGGAGAGGAACAGAAAGAAUCCCAACCACGAUCCGUGCUGUCAGCACAGAGCCCAACACAGCGCUUGGUCCCACAAACCAAACUGUGAGAUCAUGACCUGAGCUAAAAUCAAGAGUUUGAGACAUGCAAUGGAGAGCAAGGAAAACUGAGGCAGCAACUGUCAAACGUUGGUGACCUCCUGGAAAGGAGCAAAGUAGGCAGCUGCUGCCAUGCAUCCUGGAGCUGGGGACUAAAUUCACUCCGGUGGCAAACCUCUGAUGCAGGACGUUUGUGAAAAGGCAUUGUACCGCGGAAAGCACGAAUUAAAUCCGCAGAACACGUAGAGUGUUGCCACUUCUAACUGAGCUAACCUGCCAAGAAGAGCGUUUCCACUUCUGCUAGAGGAAACUUCAAGCAGGAAAAAAGUAUGGGCCAAACCUUGCCCGAGAGUUAAACUGGUUAAACUGGCUCUGCCCUUGUCUCCUGCACCUGCCUGGGACACCAGCUGGAAGGCAGGCUUGUUCCCUCCUCCGGGGAACAUGCCGAUCUUCACCACUCAGCCCCAUCUGAUCUUGUUGAACAGGCAUAGAGCAGUCAAAAUCCCACCUCCUCAUGUAAACCUGGAAGUGUUUGGGUGGGUGGGUCCUGGUCCAAGCAAGGAUCAGACCAACUGGAAACAAACUGACCCACCCAGACUGGGUGUAAUUCCAAAGGAACUACGCAAAGUAUUAUAUUCCCACCAUUGUAUUGCACUCUUCCCCAUCCUGGUGAGAUUGUGUCACACCCCUUUGCCACAGAAACUGGUGAUCCAAAGGCACGUGGUUUAAGAAGUGGUCAGUUUGAUUAGGAAAAUUAAUCAACCCUUGAAUUCGAUUUUUACUUCUCCUUGAUGCUUCUGUCUGCUACCACUGUCAACGAUACGCCAUGGAGACUAAAGAAGGAAUAGAACUGUCGGAGGAAGAUAGGGAAAAAAAUGACAAGGCAAGGAGUUUUCACAGAGCUAUAUACAUUCAAUCUAAAAGAGCUGUCCCUAAGUCUUAGAUUAUGUCUUUCUGACGUUCGUUAAUGUUAAAAUGUCCUCUUAUUUAUAAAAUGAUGGUGAUAACAAAUGCUGAUUGUUUGGUACAAUUGAGAGCUGACAACCUAUGUCAGUUCACCAACUUUUUUUUUUCUUUUAGAGAGAGAAAGAGAGAGAGAGACAGCGAGUGAAUGGGGAAGAGGGGCAGAGGGAGAGAGAGAAUCUCAAUCAGGCUCCACACUCAGAGCAGAGCCCAAUGCAGAGCUCGAUCCCAUGACCCUGGGACCAUGACCUGAGACGAAAUCAGGAGUCAGACAUUCAACCAACUGAGCCACCCAGACAUCCAAGUUCACCAACUUUAAAAAAAAUUUUUUUUAAUUUAUUUUUGAGAGAGAGAGCACAAUCAGGGGAAGGGCAGAGAGAGACACACACACACACAGAAUCUGAAGCAGGUUCCAGGCUCUGAGCUGUCAGCGCAGAGCCCCACACGGGGCUCAAACUCACAGACUGUGAGAUCAUGACCUGAGCCCAAGUUGGACGCUCAACUGACUGGCGCCCCUCCCCCACGCCAGUUCACCAACUUUUAAAAAACUUUGCCAGCCCCUAAAAUCCAGCAGUGUGGGAACCCCUGGAUUGCUGUAGUGGCCUCAGAGGCUUUGGGUAAGGACAGGGAGAAGAGUCUCUCCUUUUCAUGUAUGAGUAGCGCUCCAGAUCUGCUGGGUGGGCUCCAAGUAUCCUCUGUCACCAAAUGGCACAACUUGGAGGGGCAACUUUGAUUAAAAUGAAUAAUGUUCCCUAGGCUCCCAGGAUCCUGUUUUUCAGACCCACCUAAGAGCCCAGUGUUCUUAUGUGGUGCUGUCUCACCUGUCAGGGUGGAACAUGUCUGAUAACCUAAUUUAUGUUAAACUUUAGGAGUUUACUGCUCACUCAUCAAAGAAUUUGUAUUUUCAACCUAAGACUUGAAGAGAGUGGUAGAUGCUGACUCCAAAGGCAUAUUCCACUGAUAAUGGAAUUUUAGGGAGAGUGAGGGAGCAUGCCCUGACAUGGGAUGUAUCCGAUCGCACAGGUAGGCAUUCAUCCAGCCUGCCUAUGAAUGACACCCAAGCCCACCUUGACACUGUUCCACUUAUAGGUCACCUUGUCUAGUAAAACAUUUUUAAGCUUGAAUGCCUUCUGCUUUAUGGUUUUCAAAGCCCUUUCUUGAACAUUCCCUAGUGUGAUCCUCAUAACAGUGCUGAGAGGUAAGCAGGGAAGGUAGCAGCAUCUUUGUUUCAUUUUAUAAUUUUUUUUAAUGUUUAUUUAUUUAU